GGAAUCCUCCAUGCCUCCUCCUCCUGAACCUGUAAACGAAAACUCACAGUUUAUGAGCUGCGUGAGUUUGAAAACGCACAUCCCCUCUGCUCUGUUAGAGAAGCUGCAGAAUAACAGGAGGAAACCGGAGUACCCGGAGAAAACCCACGCUUG